AUACUUACCUAGACGGGGUCAAUGGACGAUCAUCAAGGUUCAUGGCCUAGGUAAGUGACUUUCAUUACACUUGGGAGGGGCACUCGCCUAAGGUCUCCCCAGUCCCCACUAUAGGAGAGCUUAUGUCAUAAUUUGUGGUAGUGGGUGAGUUCAAGCUUGAAUCGAGCUCA